rnacentral:rRNA from 1 species
GACGAACCUUGCAAACGUUAUUCGGAAUCACUGGGCUUAAAGGGUGCGUAGGCUGUGCAGAAAGUUGGGUGUGAAAUACCUCGGCUUAACCGAGGAAUUGCGCCCAAAACUACUGUGCUCGAGGAAGAUAGAGGUGAGCGGAACUUAGGGUGGAGCGGUGAAAUGCGUUGAUAUCCUAAGGAACACCGGUGGCGAAAGCGGCUCACUGGAUCUUAUCUGACGCUGAGGCACGAAGGCCAGGGGAGCAAACGGG